UUUUUUUUUUUUUUUUUUUCUGUGAGCCAGAGUUUUGGGGAGUGAAGAACCUUGGGCUGGCUAGAGGAUAGGGCAGGAGUUAGGCUUGCUGCCUGCAGAGACGCUUACAAGUAGUAAUUCAUGCUCUCAGUCUUAUUUCUACUUUUGAACUCUGGCUUGAAGUCCUUUCUAGCUCCCCGGUGAAUCCGUAGGGAGUGAGAGGUACAGAUUUAAGCACAACCGGGGCAGCUUUAUCUGAGUUGCUACUUCUCCGAAUGCUGAUCACAAACACAUGUAGAUUGCACAAGUCAGUUGGCAUCUCCUAAAUCUGGAUAAGUAUGUGUGACAGUACCUAAAGAUGUUUUUAAAGAUGCCUGAGUUCAGGGUGUUGGAUGCGAAUUGUAUAUGUUUCACUCUGCAUAGAUAGAUGAUAAAAACAGAAAGUAAUGUAUAGUGGAGGCCUGAUACUUGCUUCCUACUAUUGUCACUGAGGAAUUGGUGAUAUGCACUUUUGAUUUCAAGAAAGUCAUCAAAUAAUCUUAUUCGUAGUGCAUGAUUGUAGAGUUUCACACCAGGUGUGUAUCCUUGCCUUCUGUACCUUAGCGAUUUCUGGGCCCUGAGCAUCAUUGCAGCACAUUUUAUAACUCUGUUUUUGGAGGGGUGAGGGGAAACUCUGGAAUAAUUUUGAUUUGUGGUUUAACAUCUAAGGGACUUCUCUAGAGUCCAGUUAUGAGUGUCACAGUUACUCACAUAUAAAUUUAAACAUCUCUUCCGGCUUCUGUAGCCAAUUUAAUCAUUUUAUGCCCUCUAGAAUACAAGUUAUGCAGGUAAAGUUAGAGAAGGGUGGAAAUGCCAUUUGUGGGCUGAUUUCUGGGGGUGACAUGAUUUUUUUUGGUCUUCAAGCAGUGAUGGUAAUAGGAUAGCAUUAAUGGCCCAAGACUGAUAAUUGUGUGUGAAUUUCUUAAUAGUUUAGAAAGAUUUUUUAAAAUUAAUAUAAGCACUUUCUUACUAGAACUAGAUGGCAUUAGGUGCCAUUUAUAUAUGUAAAAACAUUGGGAAGUAUGCUUUAAAAUUAUUAUCUUCGGGUUGUGGGAUUCCUUUCACUGUGGUUUUCUUUGUUUUUUCAGCUUUUAAGCAUUAAGCAUGUAAUAUUUUGGAAAUAUAGGAAUGCAGUAAAUGUUAUAAACGUAGUGUGAAGGAGAGGACAAAUGCAUCCCUGGAAACUAUGUAAAACUGAUUGUAUUUUUGUGACAAAUUGUCAAAUAAAUUAUUAAUGGUAGCAUACAUCUAAUGAUUUUAUGUUCUGGUCGUAAAAGUAAUGUUUUCCAAAAAACCCACCAUUAGUACCGUCGUUUCACUAGCUGUUUUCAGUACUAUUUUUUGAGGCAUGCCUCGGUCACUGUAUUAGUUACCUGUUGCUGCUGUAACAAGUUAGCAUAAUAACACAAAUUUAUUUUCUUCUGGUUCUGGAGGCCAUGAGUCCAAAAUGAGUUUUAAGGGACUAAAGUCAAGGUAUUAGCAGAACUAGUUCCUUCUGGGAGCUCUAGUGAAGAAUCCUCUUCCACUUCUAUACGCUGCUGGCUUCUUGGCUCCUGGCUGCCUCACUCCAGUCUCUGUUUCUGUGGUCAUAUUGCCUUCUCUUUUACUGUAGUCAAAUCUCCCUUUGUCUUCCUCUUAUGAGAACACUUGUGAUUACAUUUAGGGGCCACUAGGAUGAACUGGCAUCUCAAGAUCCUUAAUUUAAUUGCACCUGCAAAGUCCCUCUGCCAUAUAAGGUUGUAUCCACAGGUUUCAGAGACUAGGACAUGACAUUUUGAAGGGGUCUGUUCAACAGUAACCAUUACAACGGUAAUGAUUAAGGCCUUCACUAUUCGAAAUCUGGUUUUAAAGUAUCUUAUUAUAAACUAAGGAUGAAGAUCUAGAACAUCGAAUUGACAGCUCUUCAAUGUUACAUGUGAGGAAUCUAGAUUGUUUGUGGUUUUUUUGACAACUAAUUGAUAAAGCUGGCCAAGGACAUAACUCACUUUUCAAGGUGGUUUUCCCAGGUGGCAGAAGAACAUGUGGCUCCACUCCAGAACUGAAAUGGUGAAUUACAGCUGCAUAAUUUGCUGUACCAGGUUGCUCAUUUGUAUCCUGUAGAGCAGGGGAAGCUUUGUUAUGCUUUUGACAGGAAAUAGGACUUCACACAACACAUGAUCAGGCAAAGCGGGAGCAGAUAACCAUUUUAUGUACAUUCUGAUUUCUGAUUUACCAGCUCACUGUGAAAGUUAGACACCAAUGCUCCUGUGGAAUAGUUUAACAUUGUCCUGCCCUUUGUAAGUAGUUACUAAUCUGGCUUGGCUGGAAAUACACAAUUACAAGUUUUAAACAAAUUCUAGUAAAGUUAUGAAGGACAAAAAAAGAAUCAAGCUUAAUUUGACUUCAUUUUUUAAAUGAUGUUUGUAUAGAAUUUGGUUUCAUGAAUCACUUUUAGCUGAAUAUUUGGAAGAUAUUCCAUUAUGCAUUGUUAGUGCAGUUAGGAGAAACUGGAAAGGAAAUGUGAAGUGAAUUUUUAAAAUAGAUGCAGAAUUUGAUUUGUAAGAAAAGAAAAACUUUGGUUUUUAUUG
ensembl:lncRNA